rnacentral:rRNA from 1 species
UCCAAGGCUAAAUACUCUCUAAUGACCGAUAGUGAACAAGUACCGUGAGGGAAAGGCGAAAAGAACCCCGGGAGGGGAGUGAAAUAGAACCUGAAAUCGUAUGCAUACAAGCAGUAGGAGCGGAUUUAUUCCGUGACUGCGUACCUUUUGUAUAAUGGGUCAGCGACUUACUUCUCAGUAGCAAGGUUAACCAAUAGGGGAGCCGUAGGGAAACCGAGUCUUAAAUGGGCGUUUAGUUGCUGGGAGUAGACCCGAAACCGGGUGAUCUAUCCAUGGCCAGGGUGAAGGUUAGGUAAAACUAACUGGAGGCCCGAACCCACUUAUGUUGAAAAAUAAGGGGAUGAGCUGUGGAUAGGGGUGAAAGGCCAAACAAACCCGGAGAUAGCUGGUUCUCUCCGAAAUCUAUUUAGGUAGAGCCUCAUGUAUUACUGUCGGGGGUAGAGCACUGUUAUGGCUAGCGGGUCGUCAAGGCUUAGUAAACCAUUGCAAACUCCGAAUACCGACAAGUAUGAGCAUGGGAGACACACUGCGGGUGCUAACGUCCGUAGUGGAAAGGGAAACAACCCAGACCGUCAGCUAAGGUCCCAAAAUUGUAGUUAAGUGGGAAACGAUGUGAAAAGGCCCAGACAGCCAGAAGGUUGGCUUAGAAGCAGCCAUUCCUUUAAAGAGUGCGUAAUAGCUCACUGGUCGAGUCGGUUUGCGCGGAAGAUUUAACGGGGCUAAAACUACAUACCGAAGCUACGGAUUGCAAUUUAUUGCGAUGGUAGGAGAGCGUUCUGUAAGCCGUUGAAGGUGAACUGUGAGGUUUGCUGGAGGUAUCAGAAGUGCGAAUGCUGACAUGAGUAACGAUAAAGGGGGUGAAAAGCCCCCUCGCCAGAAGUCCAAGGUUUCCUACGCAACGUUAAUCGGCGUAGGGUUAGUCGGUCCUAAGGCGAGGCAGAAAUGCGUAGUCGAUGGGAAAUGGGUUAAUAUUCCCAUACUUCAUAUAACUGCGAUGGGAAGACGGAGAAGGUUAACGCAGCUUGGUGAUGGUUGUCCAAGUUCAAGCGUGUAGAGUAGGUUCUUAGGAAAAUCCAGGAAUCUUAGAUUUAGAUCUAAAGCUCAAGGCGUGAUAACGAACCCUCUUUUGGGAAAAGUGCGUGAUACCAUGCUUCCAGGAAAAUCCUCUAAGCUUCAGGUUAUAUGAAACCGUACCCCAAACCGACACAGGUGGACGAGAUGAGAAUUCUAAGGCGCUUGAGAGAACUCGGGUGAAGGAACUAGGCAAAAUGACACCGUAACUUCGGGAGAAGGUGUGCUCUUGCCGGUGAUUUUACUUGCUAAAUGAGCUGGUAAGAGUUGAAGAUACCAGGUGGCUCCGACUGUUUAUUAAAAACACAGCACUCUGCAAACACGUAAGUGGACGUAUAGGGUGUGACGCCUGCCCGGUGCUUGAAGGUUAAUUGAUGAGGUUAGGAUUCGUCCGAAGCUUUUGAUUGAAGCCCAAGUAAACGGCGGCCGUAACUAUAACGGUCCUAAGGUAGCGAAAUUCCUUGUCGGGUAAGUUCCGACCUGCACGAAUGGCGUAACGAGGGCCACACUGUCUCCACCCGAGACUCAGUGAAAUUGAAAUUGCUGUUAAGAUGCAGUAUACCCGCGGCCAGACGGAAAGACCCCGUGCACCUUUACUACAGCUUUGCAUUGAACUCUGAUUCUACCUGUGUAGAAUAGGUGGGAGGCUUUGAAACUUGGACGCUAGUUCGAGUGGAGCCAUCCUUGAAAUACCACCCUGGUAUGGUUGGGAUUCUAACCUAGGUCCAUUAUCUGGAUCGGGGACAAUGCAUGGUGGG